AACGAACGCUGGCGGCGUGCCUAACACAUGCAAGUCGAGCACGAAAAGGGCAACCUGAGUAGAGCGGCGCACGGGUGCGUAACACGUGGGUAAUCUGCCUUAGAGUCGAGGAUAACCUUCCGAAAGGUUGACUAAUACUCGGUAAGCUUACGGUGUCUUCGGACGCUGUGGGAAAAGUAGGCCUCUGUUUACAAGCUUACGCUCUGAGAUGAGCCCGCGGCCCAUCAGCUAGUUGGCGGUGUAACGGACCACCAAGGCAACGACGGGUAGCUGGUCUGAGAGGACGAUCAGCCACACUGGAACUGAGACACGGUCCAGACUCCUACGGGAGGCAGCAGUGGGGAAUUUUCCACAAUGGGCGAAAGCCUGAUGGAGCAACGCCGCGUGUGUGAUGAAGGUUUUCGGAUCGUAAAGCACUUUCGACUGGGACGAAAAACCUUUGGCUAACAUCCAGGGGCCUGACGGUACCAGGAGAAGAAGCACCGGCUAACUCUGUGCCAGCCGCCGCAGUAACAC
rnacentral:rRNA from 1 species